CUAACAUAAAUGUCAUACCUGGGUGAUUAUAUACCACUGCUAGAAUGUUAUGAACUUUAUCCAAUGAAGAGACAGAACAAGGAAGGAAGUAUUGGAUUUCAGUCAGCUACAGGAUGCUCCCCAACUCAACUUUUACCUGAAAGGUCAAGGCGAAAUGUUACUGACUUUAACAGCCACAGAAUGGGCUCCAGGCUCGAGAUCCAGUGUCGUUGGGCCAGCCAUUCUUUUUCAGCACUUGGAAAGAGGCAAUGGCAAAUCAUGUCUGGAAAAACAUCAAAGAUUUGUUCAGAGAGUUCUCAGGAUUCAACAUUGACUUAAAGGCACAUACACCCCACACAAAAAUCAGUUUCCACAAAAAUUUGGAAAAAUGGUUAUUUAGAGAUGAUUUUCAUUCUUCUUUUUUUUCUUCUACAGAAAAAUAAUAGCAAUUCUAAAUCUAUUGCA